rnacentral:rRNA from 1 species
UUCGGUGGUCAUAGCGUGAGGGAAACGCCCGGUUACAUUCCGAACCCGGAAGCUAAGCCUUACAGCGCCGAUGGUACUGCAGGGGGGAC